GGCGGAGCUUGCAGUCUCUGUUCCAGCAACUCAACAUGAGCUCAUAGAGACCCUGAGGACACACAGCCGGUUUGCUCAGAUAUACCUGCAAGAGAGAGGGAGAAAGGUGUAUGGCGGUGGCACCAUUUGAUUGAACUCCCCAGCAUUGUCGAUGACUUGUUCAUCAGUGAGGUUGAAGUACGGCUGCUCCUGACAAAUGCUCAGCAUCUCCCACAGAGUGACCCCGAAUGCCCACACAUCGCUGGCCGUGGUGAACUUACCCUGGGAACACACAACCAUGCAGAUCAACGCUGUCAUCUUCAACAUCGUAAUCUCCAUCAGUAUUAAAAUUCGCCAUCUGUCGCCAUCAUCAUUAUUGGAUGGCAAAUUGUUGACAAUUACGUGUUGCCAGAUCCCGGUGCACGAAGUUGAGGGAGGAGAGGAACUUCAUUCCUGACGCAAUCUGGCUGGCCAUGGAGAUGAGAGCUGGGUAACUGGAGGGGAAAUGGUGACAGAUAGAGAGAAUAAACAAUAAAGUCUGCAUUUAUAUCUGCAUAUAUGUGCAA